UACUGUGAAUAGUGCUGCUGUGAACAGGAGUGUACAAAUAUCUCUUUGAGAGCUGCUUGUAAUUCUUCAGGUAUCUACUCAGAAGCAGAAUUGCUGGAUCAUAUGUGCCCAACUGAGAACUUCAUUUUGUCAAGGCAAUUUUCAAUCUGAUCCGCAUCGACUGUGCACCUCCGGGGAGCCGGGCCUCAUGCUGGGUGCUGAGGGACAAAGAUGCAAGUUGGAGUCUGAGUCCUGCUGCCACUGAGCUCUCGGGACAGCUGGGAGAUGGGCCAUGGACAAUCCACAUCCACGGGCUUCCCAGCUGCACUGUCACCUAUGCAAGAACGGGGCCCAGGUCUUCCACCCGCUCUGCUUCCCCGACAGCAGGCAGCUUGAACAGUGCUAGAUAUGCAUGCGCUCUUCUGGGUUCUGCCCUCUAUGGCAGAGGACAUUGUUCUUACAAGGCCUCAGCACAGAAACGUUUGCUUGGGAGAAGGUGGCAGGUCUACAGAGCAAUGGUGUGCUGGUAAGCUUUAACAAUGGGCUCUCAGGAAACAAAACAGAAGACUCAAUUUGCAGCAUCUGCUGAUUUCUGUGGUGUAAAC
rnacentral:lncRNA from 10 species